GAUGAACGCUGGCGGCGUGCCUAAUACAUGCAAGUCGAGCGAACGGACGAGAAGCUUGCUUCUCUGAUGUUAGCGGCGGACGGGUGAGUAACACGUGGAUAACCUACCUAUAAGACUGGGAUAACUUCGGGAAACCGGAGCUAAUACCGGAUAAUAUUUUGAACCGCAUGGUUCAAAAGUGAAAGACGGUCUUGCUGUCACUUAUAGAUGGAUCCGCGCUGCAUUAGCUAGUUGGUAAGGUAACGGCUUACCAAGGCAACGAUGCAUAGCCGACCUGAGAGGGUGAUCGGCCACACUGGAACUGAGACGCGGUCCAGACUCCUACGGGAGGCAGCAGUAGGGAAUCUUACGCAAUGGGCGAAAGCCUGACGGAGCAACGCCGCGUGAGUGAUGAAGGUCUUCGGCUCGUAAAACUCUGUUAUUAGGGAAGAACAUAUGUGUAAGUAACUGUGCACAUCUUGACGGUACCUGAUCAGAAAGCCACGGCUAACUACGUG
rnacentral:rRNA from 1 species